UGGGGAAUAUUGGACAAUGGGCGCAAGCCUGAUCCAGCCAUGCCGCGUGAGUGAUGAAGGCCCUAGGGUUGUAAAGCUCUUUCACCGGUGAAGAUAAUGACGGUAACCGGAGAAGAAGCCCCGGCUAACUUCGUGCCAGCAGCCGCGGUAAUACGAAGGGGGCUAGCGUUGUUCGGAUUUACUGGGCGUAAAGCGCACGUAGGCGGACUAUUAAGUCAGGGGUGAAAUCCCGGGGCUCAACCCCGGAACUGCCUUUGAUACUGGUAGUCUUGAGUUCGAGAGAGGUGAGUGGAAUUCCGAGUGUAGAGGUGAAAUUCGUAGAUAUUCGGAGGAACACCAGUGGCGAAGGCGACUCACUGGCUCGAUACUGACGCUGAGGUGCGAAAGCGUGGGGAGCAAACAGG
rnacentral:rRNA from 1 species